rfam:Bordetella hinzii strain F582, complete genome.
UAACAGCACUCUGGAGAGACCUGGCGCCGCCUUGCGGCCAGCCCAGGCGCCGAAGGUGCAAACCCGCCAUGCGUGCGGGGCAACUCUCAGGCAAAAGGACAGAGGGGCGGAA